CAGUCGCCGCGGUAACACCGAGGGUGCGAGCGUUAAUCGGAUUUACUGGGCGUAAAGCGUGCGUAGGCGGCUUUUUAAGUCGGAUGUGAAAUCCCUGAGCUUAACUUAGGAAUUGCAUUCGAUACUGGGAAGCUAGAGUAUGGGAGAGGAUGGUAGAAUUCCAGGUGUAGCGGUGAAAUGCGUAGAGAUCUGGAGGAAUACCGAUGGCGAAGGCAGCCAUCUGGCCUAAUACUGACGCUGAGGUACGAAAGCAUGGGGAGCAAACAGGAUUAGAUACCCCAGUAGUCCCUGUCUCUUAUAA
rnacentral:rRNA from 1 species